rnacentral:lncRNA from 1 species
GCUAAACGUGGCAGCACCAAAGGGGCCACGUGUGUCGGAGGCACCGCGAGAGACGGUGGUCGCCUUUAUGGAGCAGCAUCCCCAGCUGGCUAUAAGAUCCAGCGAGCUGGGGCCGCGCUUCACUGUUGGCGACCGCCGACGGCUGUGGCAGCAGCUGGCCGACGCGCUCAACAGCGAAGGCCCUGUUGUCAAAAGUACCGAGCAGUGGCAAGAGUGGUGGCGCAAGCAGGUUUUUGAGGCCCGCCGCGACGCUGCCGCAAUUGCCCAAGAACAAAGAAGCACAGGAGGGGGGCGGCUACACGGUUUUCGAGGCCGGGUCCUACAACUGACCGGGACGCUCCACCUCCAUGGCGUGACCGAACUCCCCUACCAAGAGGUUAGCACACUGCCGCCGUAAUAUCAUGGGUUCCUGAACGGUGCCGGUUUAGAGUUUGCCAUUAUCUGUAAGUGGUACCUUUAGCGGAACGCAACGAAACACCGUUGAUGAGCAGGAAAAUAGCGCAUGAGAGAAUGGAAAAGCAGGUAGGUUAAUCAACUAGAAUCUCAGUUGGUUGCGCUUUCGGGAAAAGGGGGAUUAAGUGAUCAACACAGAAUUAAAAUGCCUUCAGGGAAGUGCACGAGGACGGCAAUACAUGUGAUCAUUAAGCACUCAAUAAUUGCAGAAUAUUUCCGCAAAUGUGUAGUACGAAAACUUGUAAAAUAGGCAUUGUAACGAAUAGCCACGCUUAUGACACUUUCCAGCAGGCUGACGUCACCACCUGCGCCAUGGAAGUCGUCGUCCAAGCUACCGACGAGGCUGCGGGCGUAAGGAGCACAGCGACACGUAAGCAUCAGAGGAAUGAGUGUUUUAAUUAUCGCCAAAUGUGUGUGCAGUUCGUAGACUUUUAAUGUGUUUACUGUACAGCGGCAGAGGAUCCACCGCGCGGUGCGUCGCCUACCGAAAGGGUGGCCGCUGCACCUGUGUUGCAGCACCCUGUUCGGCCACCACGUCGACAGCGACGAC